rnacentral:rRNA from 1 species
UACGUAGGGUGCGAGCGUUAAUCGGAAUUACUGGGCGUAAAGCGUGCGUAGGCGGUUCUCCAAGUCCGUUGUGAAAUCCCCGGACUUAACCUGGGAAUGGCAGUGGAAACUAGGGGACUUGAAUCUGGCAGAGGGGGGUGGAAUUCCACGUGUAGCAGUGAAAUGCGUAGAGAUGUGGAGGAACACCGAUGGCGAAGGCAGCCCCCUGGGCUGAGAUUGACGCUGAGUGCACGAAAGCGUGGGGAGCAAACAGG